UACGUAGGGGGCAAGCGUUGUCCGGAAUCAUUGGGCGUAAAGAGCGUGUAGGCGGCCCGGUAAGUCCGCUGUGAAAGUCGGGGGCUCAACCCUCGAAUGCCGGUGGAUACUGUCGGGCUAGAGUGCGGAAGAGGCGAGUGGAAUUCCUGGUGUAGCGGUGGAAUGCGCAGAUAUCGGGGAGGAACACCAGUAGCGAAGGCGGCACUCUGGGCCGGUACUGACGCUGAGGAGCGAAAGCGUGGGGAGCGAACAGGG
rnacentral:rRNA from 1 species